rnacentral:sRNA from 1 species
AAGCCCUCCUUCCCACCCUCAACCUCUGCUGUCAAAGUCAACCUUAGUGAAAAGUUUACUGCCGCAGCUACCUCUACUCCUGUUAGUAGCUCCCAGAGCGCACCCUCGAUGCCGCCAUUCUCUUCUGCCUCCAAGCCAGCUACUUCUGGACCGCUCAGCCACCCCACGCCUCUCUCAGCAUCACCUAGUUCCGUGCCAUUGAAGUCCUCAGUCUUGCCCUCACCAUCAGGCAAAGUCACUUCAGCCUGCUGUUGCAGAGAAGCAGGGACAUCAGUGGAAAGAUUCAGAUCCUGUAAUGGCUGGAAUUGGGGAGGAGAUUGCACACUUUCAGAAGGAGUUGGAAGAGUUAAAAGCCCGAACUUCCAAAGCCUGUUUCCAAGUGGGCACUUCUGAGGAGAUGAAGAUGCUGCGAACAGAAUCAGAUGACUUGCAUACCUUUCUUUUGGAGAUUAAAGAGACCACAGAGUCGCUUCAUGGAGACAUAAGUAGCCUGAAAACAACUUUACUUGAGGGCUUUGCUGGUGUUGAGGAAGCCAGAGAACAAAAUGAAAGAAAUCGUGACUCUGGUUAUCUGCAUUUGCUUUAUAAAAGACCACUGGAUCCCAAGAGUGAAGCUCAGCUUCAGGAAAUUCGGCGCCUUCAUCAGUAUGUGAAAUUUGCUGUCCAAGAUGUGAAUGAUGUUCUAGAUUUGGAGUGGGAUCGGCAUCUGGAACAAAAGAAAAAACAAAGGCACCUGCUUGUGCCAGAGCGAGAGACACUGUUUAACACCCUAGCCAACAACCGGGAAAUCAUCAACCAACAGAGGAAGAGGCUGAAUCACCUGGUGGACAGUCUUCAGCAGCUCCGCCUUUACAACCAGACUUCCCCGUGGAGCCUGCCCUCGGCUGUUCCUUCCCAGAGCAGCAUUCACAGUUUUGACAGUGACCUUGAAAGCCUGCGCAAUGCUUUGUUGAAAACCACCAUAGAAUCUCACACCAAAUCCUUGCCCAAAGUACCAGCCAAACUGUCCCCCAUGAAACAGGCACAACUGAGAAACUUCUUGGCCAAGAGGAAGACCCCACCAGUGAGAUCCACUGCUCCAGCCAGCCUGUCUCGAUCAGCCUUUCUGUCUCAGAGAUAUUAUGAAGACUUGGAUGAAGUCAGCUCAACGUCAUCUGUCUCCCAGUCUCUGGAGAGUGAAGAUGCACGGACGUCCUAUAAAGAUGAGGAGGCAGUGGUUCAGGCCCCUCGGCACGCCCCCGUGGUUCGCACUCCUUCCGUCCAGCCCAGUCUCUUGCCCCAUGCAGCACCUUUUGCUAAAUCUCACCUGGUUCAUGGUUCUUCACCUGGUGUGAUGGGAACUUCAGUGGCUACAUCUGCUAGCAAAAUUAUUCCUCAAGGGGCCGAUAGCACAAUGCUUGCCACGAAAACCGUGAAACAUGGUGCACCUAGUCCUUCCCACCCCAUCUCAGCCCCGCAGGCAGCUGCCGCAGCAGCACUCAGGCGGCAGAUGGCCAGUCAGGCACCAGCUGUAAACACUUUGACUGAAUCAACGUUGAAGAAUGUCCCUCAAGUGGUAAAUGUGCAGGAAUUGAAGAAUAACCCUGCAACCCCUUCUACAGCCAUGGGUUCUUCAGUGGCCUACUCCGCAGCCAAAACACCUCACCCAGUGUUGACCCCAGUGGCCGCUAACCAAGCCAAGCAGGGGUCUCUAAUAAAUCCCCUUAAGCCAUCUGGGCCUACACCAGCAUCCGGUCAGUUAUCAUCUGGUGACAAAGCUUCAGGGACAGCCAAGAUAGAAACAGCUGUGACUUCGACCCCAUCUGCUUCUGGGCAGUUCAGCAAGCCUUUCUCAUUUUCUCCAUCAGGGACUGGCUUUAAUUUUGGGAUAAUCACACCAACACCGUCUUCUAAUUUCACUGCUGCACAAGGUACAGACUCUGUUCAGUAGCAUUACUCAUGUGUUUUCUCUAAACAAGUACAGGUUAUUUUUGCCCACAUGUUAGUAUCUGACUUGUUCCUGAGUCUUACUUACAGUAUCUGCAAUAAGCUCAGUGUUGAUAAUGUGCAUUAGAAAUAUGCUUAAUUUAAGAAACUGAUGUGAAGGAUUUCUAUUUUUAUAAUUAAGGACAAGGAAAGGAUUUGCUUCUAGAAAAUCAGGGCUGUGCUUUAACAUUUAAACGUUAGCAUGUGAAUUAAAAUUUCUCCAUUUUUUAUCUGUAAUUUAAAAUUUCAUCAAUUUAUAGGGUGAGUCUGUAGGGCAAGAUAGACAUGGUAAUAGAUAGGCUGUAGA